rnacentral:lncRNA from 1 species
GCCUUACAUGGUAAAUAUGUAGUUCUGUGUGUUUUAUUUCUGAAACUGAAAUGCUCUAAGCCCUGACAGAUUUAUUUCUGUGCUUCUCCAGACAGUAAUGGCUGUGUCUACUCUUCAGGACCUUGAGAGACAAGGAGAAGGUCUUUUUUACAAUAAGCAUUCUACCGUGCGCCCCAAGGUUGACACAGGAGGGAAGUUCAGCAAAAGAAUAUCCUCUCUCUACAUAUGACAGCAGACUUGUAUGCAGCCCAGAGAAUAUCUUCUUUUUUCUUGGAGAAGAAAAUAGCAAACCAUUCUUAUUUAUUUGCCAAGAAAACCCCAUGGAUUUUAUGGAGAGUCAAACAUGACCAAACAGCUGACCAACUUUAUGACUCCAGACUCAUGGUUCUAACCAUUGCACUACCAGCUACCUUAAUGUGCCUGAGGAAACAAUUCUGUAAGACCUAAAGACAAGAUUGAUUUUUCUCUUGGUUUUUAGCAGAGGCUAAAAUGACCUUUUGGGCAAGUUACAGUGUAUCUCCCUUUCAUGAAUGGGUUACACUAGAUGUUCUCUGGAAUUUGUUCUUGCUCCCUAAUUCUGUGAUUCUAUACUGAGACAAAACAAAGAGAAUCAGAAGUAGGGUUUGAGGGUGUUGAAAAAGAGAAAUAUAUAGAAACAGGGUAGUGUCAGUCUUAAGGAAAUUCAUGAUUUAGUCAUUCUUUCUCACCCAAGGCACCAUGAAACAAGAUGGUUCAGUGGAAAGAACUCUGAUUUAUAAAAUUAGACACGUGAGUUCUACUUUCCACUUUAGUACUAACUUGUUGGACCUCAGUUUUCCUUAACAUAAAAAGACCCAUAAUUUUUAUCAGUUAUACUCUUCCUCAAUUAAUCAAAUUAAAAUUUCUCUGUACUUUAUGAAACCAGUCUUGAUCCUGAGAUCUCAUUACUUUGGAUAAAACUCAAAGAAAUCCAAGACAGAAAGAAAGGCCCCAUGUCAACCAAAAUACUCAAGGAUCCAUUUUUAUAGCAGAGAAUAAAUGGAAACAAAGUAGACA